GACAGAGGGUGCAAACGUUGUUCGGAAUUACUGGGCGUAAAGCGCGUGUAGGCUGCUUGGAAAGUCGGAUGUGAAAGCCCCGGGCUCAACCUGGGAAGUGCAUUCGAAACUGCCGAGCUAGAGUGCGGAAGAGGCAACUGGAAUUCCCAGUGUAGCGGUGAAAUGCGUAGAUAUUGGGAAGAACACCUGAGGCGAAGGCGGGUUGCUGGGCCGACACUGACGCUGAGGAGCGAAAGCGUGGGGAGCAAACAGG
rnacentral:rRNA from 1 species